UUUAUUUGAUAGUACCUUACUACAUGGAUACCUGUGGUAAUUCUAGAGCUAAUACAUGCUAAAAACCCCGACUUCAGGAAGGGGUGUAUUUAUUAGAUAAAAAACCAACGCCCUUUCGGGGCUCCUUGGUGAAUCAUAAUAACUUAACGAAUCGCAUGGCCUUGCGCCGGCGAUGGUUCAUUCAAAUUUCUGCCCUAUCAACUUUCGAUGGUAGGAUAGUGGCCUACCAUGGUGGCAACGGGUAACGGGGAAUUAGGGUUCGAUUCCGGAGAGGGAGCCUGAGAAACGGCUACCACAUCCAAGGAAGGCAGCAGGCGCGCAAAUUACCCAAUCCCGAUACGGGGAGGUAGUGACAAUAAAUACUGAUACGGGGCUCUUUUGGGUCUCGUAAUUGGAAUGAGAACAAUUUAAAUCCCUUAACGAGGAACAAUUGGAGGGCAAGUCUGGUGCCAGCAGCCGCGGUAAUUCCAGCUCCAAUAGCGUAUAUUAAAGUUGUUGCAGUUAAAAAGCUCGUAGUUGAACCUUGGGUCUGGCUGGUCGGUCCGCCUCACCGCGAGUACUGAUCCGGCUGGACCUUUCCUUCUGGGGAACCUCAUGGCCUUCACUGGCUGUGGGGGGAACCAGGACUUUUACUGUGAAAAAAUUAGAGUGUUCAAAGCAGGCCUUUGCUCGAAUACAUUAGCAUGGAAUAAUAGAAUAGGACGUGCGGUUCUAUUUUGUUGGUUUCUAGGACCGCCGUAAUGAUUAAUAGGGAUAGUCGGGGGCGUCAGUAUUCAGCUGUCAGAGGUGAAAUUCUUGGAUUUGCUGAAGACUAACUACUGCGAAAGCAUUCGCCAAGGAUGUUUUCAUUAAUCAGGGAACGAAAGUUAGGGGAUCGAAGACGAUCAGAUACCGUCGUAGUCUUAACCAUAAACUAUGCCGACUAGGGAUCGGACGGGAUUCUAUAAUGACCCGUUCGGCACCUUAC
rnacentral:rRNA from 1 species